AUUGAACGCUGGCGGCAGGCCUAACACAUGCAAGUCGAGCGGAUGAAGGGAGCUUGCUCCUGGAUUCAGCGGCGGACGGGUGAGUAAUGCCUAGGAAUCUGCCUGGUAGUGGGGGAUAACGUCCGGAAACGGGCGCUAAUACCGCAUACGUCCUGAGGGAGAAAGUGGGGGAUCUUCGGACCUCACGCUACCAGAUGAGCCUAGGUCGGAUUAGCUAGUUGGUGGGGUAAAGGCCUACCAAGGCGACGAUCCGUAACUGGUCUGAGAGGAUGAUCAGUCACACUGGAACUGAGACACGGUCCAGACUCCUACGGGAGGCAGCAGUGGGGAAUAUUGGACAAUGGGCGAAAGCCUGAUCCAGCAAUGCCGCGUGUGUGAAGAAGGUCUUCGGAUUGUAAAGCACUUUAAGUUGGGAGGAAGGGCAGUAAGUUAAUACCUUGCUGUUUUGACGUUACCAACAGAAUAAGCACCGGCUAACUUCGUG
rnacentral:rRNA from 1 species